rnacentral:misc_RNA from 1 species
UUUUCCUCAUUCCCCAACCAGACCAAGAGUUUGCCUCAGCUCCAUUUUUCUCAGUACUUCCACUGACAGUUGUCUUCCAAGCAGCUGCAGUAUCCCAACUGCUGGACAGGUCAGAUUUUUUUUGCACUUUCAUAGCAGGGAGAUCAGAUGCUUCCAUUUUCCUUGUUCCCCAACCAGACCAUGGGUUUGUCUCAUCGUUGUUAUUUUUUGUCUUUUCAUUUGCAUUUUUCUGCCAAGUAGCUGCAGUAUCCCAACCGCUGGACUUGUCAGAUUGCUCCUGGGCUUUUGUGGAGAGUGCAUUUUCUGUUUCAGCUAUAUCACUUCCCCAGCUAGACCAGGGCUUUUCUUGAAAUUCAUCAGUUUCUUCAAAGCUGGGCUUAUCAGAACCAAAAUUGUUCUCUGGAGACAAGUUCCAGUCAAUUUCAUCCUCCAACAUAAGAUCAUCAACUUCUGCACCUAAACAGGCAGUGACUGAUUCUUCUCCAUCUGCACCACUUCUCACCAUAUUUAAAAAUUCAUAAACAUCUAUUCUACCCUCUUGAUUCAAACAGGCCUCCUUCUGGUCCCAAAGCAAAUCAAAUCGUGAUCCUGUACCAACUGCCACACACUUACCCCACGAACAAGAAGCAACUAUGCUCGAUAAAGUAUCCACAUGACACUUCUCUGCAGCUCUCUCAAAACAUUUUCUUGGGGUAAAGAGUGUUGCCUCAGUAAAUGGUACUUGGAUAUCCAAUGAGCGAGAUAGUGAUUUGUAGCCACCAGAAUUGAAGCCAACCAAAUUUCCACCACAUGUCAUGCUGUUUGCCAGGAGAAUGAGGUGCUCCUUGAGCACACCUUUUGCCACCAUUGUUACUGAGGUUGAGAGGCGCUGAACUGCUUGAUCAAAUGCACAAGAAACUCCCAACAAUUCCUGAACUUGUUUAAUCGCAUAUGGUAUAGAACGUGUGGUAUCAAUCAAAUGAAGAACAGGAAGGCAGGAAUCUAGGACAAUUCUCCAUGCAUCACCACUCUGUUUAACAGCUGAUUUCUCAAUAACAACAUCCAGGGCCAGUUCCCCCUUCUGAGUCCUGGAAGGAUUUCUUAUCCAAGUUGUUGUAUCUGGACUAACCCAAAUAAUGUUUGCAGAGGAAAUUCGAUGAUCACCUUUGAUGAUUGUCUCCAACAAGACUGGACAAACUACAUCAGAGAAGAUAUUUGAAAUGUUCUCCAAAUGAAUAUCAUGGUCUAGCCAAAAGAACAUCAAGCACGGCAUGCUGGACCACUCAUCAGCACAAGAUUGCUGGAAAGAGCAACAUUCGCUGAAAGACACCUCUAUCCUUUUAAAUAAAGGAGCAAGCUUUUUCUUCUUUCGAAAUGAAGUGAUCGUCUCUUUGCACUUUUGAAGAAUAACUUCCAUACCCACAUUCAAUUCUUGCAACUUCUUCUUUUUGAGAUGAAUAUGGCCAACGAGACUGGCAUCUGCUAUUGUUUGCCGCCUCUUGUAUUCGAUCAUAAAACACUCUGCAAUGUCUUUAAGAAUGACUCUCCCCAAAUGAUUCUUCACCAAGUAGGCCGCUUUUUCCUGACAGUAACUUCUCCCACAAUCACAAUCAUUAAAAUACAAAAUGACGCGGCGAUCAGUAAGAUCAUUCUUGAAGUUAACUCUGCAAAGAAGUAUUUCCUUCAUCAACUCCCAUGAGGAGUUGCUACUUGGAGUCGAAUCAAGAACUGCUUUGUAUGCAGGAUUGGACAUAGCAGUUGCAGCUAACACACCCACAGGUUCACCCGCAGGGAAUAAACUCUGUGCCUUAAUUCCAGAAUUUACUCCAUACUCGAACUGGAUGAUUGAAUUGCUGCAUACAUUCCUCACAGUUCCAUCAUAACAAAUAACCACAUCUCUAAGGAUAGCCAUCAAGUUCUUGAAUAAAGUCCCAGGUUCAGAUAAUCCUCUCGAUGAGCGAACAAUAACCUCUCUUGUAGAUAUUGAAUGGACCAUCUCUUCAUAUGGAUCUAACCCACGAAAAAAACAGCUUUAAAUCAACCCAUACUGUGCAGAUGGAUAAUCAACUCAAUCAGCAGGAUAUUUGCUCUCAAAAUGAGAAGCCAUGUCUUCAACCAAUGUUUUAGAAUAGAACUUCCCCCUAUCUGAAAUUUGCAGGCCCAAGAAGCCAAUCUGUUGGACUAAUUUGGUCAUGGCUGAAUCGCUCUUAUAGUCAAUUAAAUCACCCAGGGAAGAAGACCUUAAAAUAAAAUCUGCAGCUGGUAGUUUAGCAUGCCGGAUGUGAUUUUCCAAUUGCAACUCCAACAGCUCAUUGUAGCUUGAUCUUAAGUGACCAAGCAAAGGAGAAAUAACAUUCAAAUCUCUAUGAAUACUCUCUAUGGAAGCCCUAGAUAUGUAGAAGUCCUCCAAGCCAACACUAAAACCUUCAGAAAACAGAUUUUCCAUUAACAAAGGCUGCAGAGAGUUGAAGAACUUGAAAACAGCAUCAGGACCUUUCUCAAAAAAGAUAGAGAUCACAACUUCAUUAAUAACAGCCUGCACGAUAUCCCUACUAAAAUCAACCUUUACAAUGUCCCCUUUACUGAUCCAGUAUCUUUCCCCAUUGCAGUCAAACUGAGAAGGCAAAGCAGUCUGUAGUAUCUGUGGAGCAGUCCAAAAUGGGCCAGAGUGAACUUUCCAUAAGGCAGGCUGUGGCAAAGAAGAUGAUACAAACAAAGCUAAUUGCUGAGCGGCUGCUUUGUCCAAGAAGUAUGCCUUAAACAUGGUCUUCAACGAUAAAAGAGAAUCUGAGGUCAAUUGCAAAUUCAGAUUGCCACUAUGAGAGCUAAGCAACUGUUUCUCAACUGAAAACAAUUCCAAGACUUCUGCUUUCGCAGCAAGGGACUGAGGAUAGAAUAGAUGAAUGCAAUCACCAUCAAAAUCAGCACUUAACGGCCCACAAAUAAGAGGAUUGAUCUUCACAGAGUGAUCAUCGUGCACAUAAACAGACAGUGCUUGCAAAGAAUGCUUGUGUGUUGUCGGGGGUCUAUUGAUGAAGACUGUAUCUCCAUCCAUUAUUCGCCGAUGGACAAUCUGACCUGGACGAAGAAAUGUGUGUCCCUUGGAACCUUCUCUGAGUGAAUAAGUGGAAGAUCCAUCCUUGUAUGUCAAGCACAACUUGUUGUCCACAAGCUCUUGAAGAUAUUUGAUGUUGUGCACAUUAACCCUCUCCUCAAACGUGAUUCUCUGAGCAAUUUCAAAAGGGAUCCCAAUCUCAUUCACACGUUUGUAUGCAUCACCUGUAAUCACACUGCGCGAAGAGAAUCCAGAACCCUUUCUGAUGAACAAAGUCCUCAUUUUCUCAAGCCAUGCUUUGGUUGAGGAAUCAUUGGACUCCUUGUGUACCCCAAAUCUUGCUUCAAUAUCCCGAGAUGCUCUUGCAGUACCCCUAACUUGAAGAUAUUGAUCGACUGCUGACUGCAAAUCAACGGCUUCAACUUCAUGGGAUUCAAAGUUUGCUGGACCAGAUCGUGAGCUUUUGAUUAUCUCAACUUGCUUAAGAACUUUCUUAAGCAUGGAUAUAGAAAGAUCAGAGGACAUGACACUAACACCAUCAGAAAUGUCUGGAACUGACAAACAGUUUGGUGGAACUGGUAUAUAUCGCAUGAUAUAACCAUCCUGCGGAAAAUACCCUUUUCUAGCAAGUUUUUUUCUAGUCUCUUGUGGAAUUCUCCUAAGCAUUUCCAUCACCUCACAAGGAAGCAACGUUCGAGUAAUGUCAUCACCAUAGCGAAAACCAUAUCUUUCUAAGAAAUUCCAAAAACCAUCUCUCAAUCUCAUCCUAGAUGGUAGCUUCAAUUUCAAAAAAAAAGCACCAUCCGUUGUUUUAAUCUCUUUAAUAGAAAUUUGAGAAGCCUCCUCACAACAUGAAAACAACCGUUCAGCCACACCAUUGCUCUUAACCUGAAACUUGUUUGUUUUCAUUUUCAAGCACUUUAAGCAUAAUAAGCUUAACAACCGCUUCAAUUCGCUAACAUGACUUGGAUGAUAUAUUGGUAUUGGCAAUUCAAUAUAACCAAAGUGACCUUCACAUUUUCCAGGUUCAGAUGUGCCACAAGACUCACAUUUACCAAAUUCAAGCGGCAAGCCAAGGAAUGGAUUUGUAAGCUGACUAGAAUGGCUUAUAGGGCAGUCACUAACAGAAGCCGUAGAUAUUUCCUUAUGAGUUGCCAAACCAAAUCUGAUUCCAACUAUCUCCCCCUCCAAAAUGGUAGAUUGAACAUUGUCCUCCAUUUCUGCAAAAUUCCUCUAGUGCCUCCGCUGCUGUCAACACCCAAACACCACCUGCAAAAUUCCGGCUCCUUCUGAGCUUUGACUCGGCGAUUCUGACCCACAAAAACCCAAACAAAAAUGUAAGUGUGUGUUGUACUGGGCGUUUUGUUCCCUUCUACAGAGUGUUUGAGUUGGAGAGGGAGACUUUGCAUGCAGAGAAAAUUACUUUUUCAUUUUUCCUUUUUUU